GAUGAACGCUGGCGGCGUGCCUAAUACAUGCAAGUCGAGCGGUAAGGCCCUUCGGGGUACACGAGCGGCGGACGGCUGAGUAACACGUAGGAACGUACCCCAAACUGAGGGAUAAGCACCAGAAAUGGUGUCUAAUACCGCAUGUGGCCCACGGGCUAAAGCUCCGGCGGUUUGGGAACGGCCUGCGUCCGAUUAGCUAGUUGGCGAGGUAAUAGCUCACCAAGGCGACGAUCGGUAGCUGGUCUGAGAGGAUGAUCAGCCAGACUGGGACUGAGACACGGCCCAGACUCCUACGGGAGGCAGCAGUAGGGAAUUUUCCACAAUGGGGGCAACCCUGAUGGAGCAACGCCGCGUGCAGGAUGAAGGCCUUCGGGUUGUAAACUGCUUUUAUAUGUGACGAUUAUGACGGUAGCAUAUGAAUAAGGACCUGCUAACUACGUGCCAGCAGCCGCGGUAA
rnacentral:rRNA from 1 species